UACAGAGGGUGCGAGCGUUGUUCGGAUUCAUUGGGCGUAAAGGGUGCGUAGGCGGCGGGGUAAGUCAGGUGUGAAAUCUCGGGGCUCAACCCCGAAACUGCACUUGAUACUGCCUCGCUUGAGUACUGGAGAGGAGACUGGAAUUUACGGUGUAGCAGUGAAAUGCGUAGAUAUCGUAAGGAAGACCAGUGGCGAAGGCGGCAUUCUGGACUGUAACUGACACUGAGGAACGAAAGCCAGGGGAGCAAACGGG
rnacentral:rRNA from 1 species